AUUGAACGCUGGCGGCAGGCCUAACACAUGCAAGUCGAACGAGUGGCGGACGGGUGAGUAAUGUCUGGGAAACUGCCUGAUGGAGGGGGAUAACUACUGGAAACGUUAGCUACUACCGCAUACCACCCGUUGUGCCCAGGUGGGAUUAGCUAGUAGGUGGGGUAACGGCUCACCUAGGCGACGAUCCCUAGCUGGUCUGAGAGGAUGACCGGCCACACUGGAACUGAGACACGGUCCAGACUCCUACGGGAGGCAGCAGUAGGGAAUAUUGGACAAUGGGCGAAAGCCUGAUGGAGCCAUGCCGCGUGAAUGAAGAAGGCCUUCGGGUUGUAAAAUACUGUCGGCGGGGAGGCGUUACCCACAGAGGAAGCAACGGCUAACUACGUGCCAGCCGCCGCGGUAAUAC
rnacentral:rRNA from 1 species